rnacentral:ncRNA from 12 species
GGGUCCGGAAGCUUUUUGCUGCCGGAGGAUUUAGAUGGUCGGGCCGCCAUCU